GGUCCCGGUGGCGGCUCCGCUCCGCGCAUGCGCGGCUCCCGCCCCUCCCUGGCGCACGGCCGGGCGCAGCGGCAGCAUGAAGGACCGGACCGGGGAGCUGCGCGCCGCGAAGGACAGUGAUGAUGACGAUGAAGUCACCGUCAGUGUGGACCGGGACCGCUUCAUGGACGAGUUCUUCGAGCAGGUGGAAGAAAUUCGAGGGUUCAUUGAUAAGAUUUCAGAGAACGUGGAGGAAGUGAAGAGGAAGCACAGUGCCAUCCUUGCCUCGCCUAACCCCGAUGAGAAGACAAAGGAGGAGCUGGAAGAGCUGAUGUCUGACAUAAAGAAGACGGCAAACAAAGUACGCUCCAAGCUAAAGAGUAUUGAGCAGAGCAUUGAACAAGAGGAAGGACUGAACAGGUCAUCUGCUGACUUGCGGAUAAGGAAAACUCAGCACUCAACGCUGUCCCGCAAGUUUGUGGAGGUGAUGUCCGAGUACAACGCCACGCAGACUGACUACCGGGAGCGCUGCAAGGGCAGGAUCCAGAGGCAGCUGGAGAUCACUGGGAGGACCACCACCAGUGAGGAGCUGGAGGACAUGCUGGAGAGCGGCAACCCAGCCAUCUUCUCCUCUGGGAUCAUCAUGGAUUCAAACAUUACCAAGCAGGCACUGAAUGAGAUUGAGACACGGCACAGCGAAAUCAUCAAACUGGAGAACAGCAUCCGAGAGCUGCACGACAUGUUCAUGGACAUGGCCAUGCUGGUGGAGAGCCAGGGCUGCUGGGCAGGGCAACGUCCACACGGUGCUGGGGAGCAGAGCAGGAAGGAGCUCACGUCUGCGUGCAUGCGGGCACGUGGGCUCUGUCGCCGUUCUGCAGGGCGAGAUGAUUGACCGCAUCGAGUACAACGUGGAGCACUCAGUGGACUACGUGGAGCGAGCUGUGUCCGACACCAAAAAAGCAGUGAAGUACCAGAGCAAAGCCAGACGGAAGAAGAUCAUGAUCAUUAUCUGCUGCGUGAUCCUGGGCAUCGUCAUCGCCUCCACCUUCGGUGGCAUUUUCGGCUAGCCUCACCCCGCGGGACUGUUUGUGUGCGAUGGACGGAGCUGCGUGUGCCGCGGGGCCGCAGCCGCACCGGAGCAAACCACGCAGCCCCGGAGCCUCCCAGCAGCAUUUCAGUUUCUAAUGCAUGGUUGUUUGUGACGCUGUGUGUGCGGUGCGGUGCGUCUGUAUGGAGGGAGCGCCAGCCCCGGGGCGUAGGCAGGGUGCAGGGGAUGGUGAUGGGCAGGAGGGGGACCCUGGGAGGGAACCCGAGUUCUCAUCACUGCUCCAGCCUGCAUGGCUGGCUGGGGACAGGGGUGCCCUUGGGCACUGCUGCUCCUCCUGUGCUGGGCAGUCUGCAUUAGUGACAACCAAGGAUGCAGGGUGUCAGGGCCCCCCAGGAGCACAGUGCCCAGUCAACCUCCCCCAACUUCCCCAUUACCUCCAGCCAGAGCUCUCAUGUCAGCUGUGUCUGUGCUUACAAACACCUUUCCUUGGGCUGCUUCUCCCACGGGACCCUUCCCCAGGGGUGUGCUCAGACAGGCGCUGCCUGUUCCUGUCCCUGUGCCUGGCUGCAGGGCUCUAUCCCUCCUGCCCCUCCAAGGCAAGCCCUCCUCCCAGUGUGGGUACCAGGGGAUGGAUGUUCUGCUGCUGACAGUGGGUGCCUGAUGGAGCAGUGUAGAACAGGCUGCUGCUCUGGGCUAUCAGUUGCCUGGGGAUGGGGACAGGCCACAUGGGGACAUGCUGCAUGCUGGUGCUGGCCUGGUAGGUACUUCAAGGGCAGCACACUUUGCUGGCUGCUCUGCCUGCACCAAAGCUUCAUUAUUCUGUCAGCCCUGGCACACAGUGGCCCUGGCUCCUUCUGCCCAAGGGCUGGGAUUUGGGGCUGGCUCUGAUGCCCACAGUCCCUGGCAGCACUUGCCUGGGAUCAGGGCUUCAUCCAGCCUCACUUCUCCACAUAGGCACCUAUGGCUGGGGCUGAAGGCAGCCAAGCUUUCUCCUGUUGUGGUCCCUGGAGCAGCCCUUGUUGCAUCCACACCCCUGCUAGCUAAGGAGCAGACUUCCUCCCCCUUGGUCCUACCAGUUCCUGAGCAGGGCAGUGCCUGACUCCCCCUUCCAUCUCCCUGCCACCUCUUGGCACCUGCCUGCUCCUUCCAGUCUUGGCACACCACCCUUGUGCCUGUUCAUCCCCCAGGCCAUCCAGAGAGGACCCACACAUGGCAGGAUGUUGUGGAGGCACCUGGGUACCCUCUGCUGCACCCACUGUGUGGACACAGCCUCUGUGGUGGCCUGAGCCUACUGGCAGCUCCGAAGAACCCUGUGAUGCCACUGUCUGUUUUCUUCAGGCUGGGAGCAGGGCUCUGCCCUUACAUUCCUCUGUAGAUUCCAGGGCUGCAGCUGGCCCAUGCACAUGCCAAAGCACCACUGAGGAACCCAGAGCAGGGCAGGCACUUGGAGCCACACACUGGGACAGGGUCUGGAUGUAAGCCCAGAUGCUGUAGCAGAAAAAGGGCAGCUGAUGUCAGUGAGCACUCCAGCUGCAGCUGUGUUUCACCUCUCUGUUCCGACCAGGGUCCCUGUGCUCCUCCACCCUGGCUGGGUGCUGUAGCACAGGAGCUGGCCCUAUGCAUGGUGCCCAUGGCUGGGGGGCAAGGAAGUGGGCUGUAGCCAAGACACAACACUACCUUCCUGAGACACAGCCCUGCCCAGCAGCAACCCAGACAUGGCUCAUUCCCUGCCACUGUUACCCCAGGUCCCACUGUACAACCCCUGGUUGCAUUCAGCUGCCCUUGGGAAGCAUGUCCAGCCCAGUCCCCUGCCCAGCACAGGGGUGCGACCAUGGGAACAGCCACCUCUGGAGCCCCCUUCUUUCGCAUCCCCACAACAAGAGAUGUGAGCUACAGCGCUGCAGCCUGUGUGCACAAAAGGGCUUGGGGCAUGGGGAGCCCCGCAAGAGGGAGCAGGCCAGCUCUGGAGCCCCUCCAGGGCAGGAGGCAGGCAUGGGCAGGGUCCUUGACCUAAGGGGAGGGAGCUGGAAGUGAUGUACAAGUACCUACUGCUCCUGCCCCAGUACAGUUCCCUGUCAUCAUACUCUGCUAUGUUGAGCCACAAGAACGCUGGGCCCCCUCCUCUGGGAAGCAAUAACACUGCUGACAGGGCUGCUCCUGGGUGGGCAGGCAGAACAGCUCCUCUCAGGCUCUCGCCCUGCAGCGAUGCCCACUGCUAGCGCAAGGUGAUCUUUUUAUCUUCCAAGCAGCGGCUUUUGUGGCACAACACAUGACAUCAGGGCUUUGGCCCACCCCCAUCAAGGCACAAGGCUAAGAACAGCACGAGGGGGCUCUGGCACUUGCUUCUUCAUUGUUGGUACCACCACCACCACCACCAGCAGCCCGCCAGCAGCAGGAGCUGGACGGGGCCACAGUCGGCAGCUCCGCCGCUGGCACUUUGCUGGGAUCCUGCAGGCAGUGGUGGUGCCAGGCUCCAGAACAUGGGAGGCAGAGGAGCAGGCUGCCACUGCUGCCCCACAGGCAGGUUCACACUGUCCUCGCUGUGAGGGGAGGGUGUUUUGGUGCAAUAAUUACCCCUGCACUAUGGGAAGCCCCGCCCAGUUCCUUUUUACCUACCUGUUGUUGCAUGUACAGACCAAAUCACCAACAGUGUGGUUGUGCUUUGGGGAGACAUUUCACUUUUUCUUUCCAGCCCCUGACCUCAGACCGCUUGUCCUUUGGGUUACCCCACCUCUGUUCCAAGUGCCACCUGCCCUCCCAGCACCGGGAGCGUGUCGAUGCAGUAUUCCACAAACAGUGUGGGGCACGCACAGCUUGCACUCGAACUGGGGAUUAUUUUGGGGUUUUUUUAGUAAUUAUAUGUACUUGAAAGCUUUCCAAGUCCCCUCUCCCCGUGGAGUUGUACUGUUGCUGUACUGUGAGCUAAGUGUCCUUGUUUUCUAUGUGGAUCUUGACCCUGGCUUGCUCUGUCUCACUGGGCUGGAUGACACUGUAUGUUGCCUCUCUUCUCCUUCACCCUUUCCCUUCCUGCUAGCCUCCCCUUCUCCCAAAGCUUUGGGUGCAAAACAGCUUCCCAUUUUGUGGAAUUUUUAUGUAGAAUAAACAUUUGUAACUGUAAA